AGAGUUUGAUCCUGGCUCAGAACGAACGCUGGCGGCGUGCUUAACACAUGCAAGUCGAGUGCGCGUCUGUAGCAAUACAGAUGGCGCACGGCGCACGGGUGCGUAACACGUGGGCAAUCUGCCCUUCGAUGGGGAAUAACUCCGGGAAACCGAAGCUAAUUCCGCAUAACAUUCCUUGGACCUCGGUUCGGGGACUCAAAGCCGUAAGGCGUCGAAGGAGGAGCCCGCGCCCGAUUAGCUAGUUGGUGAGGUAACGGCUCACCAAGGCAAUGAUCGGUAGCUGGUCUGAGAGGAUGGCCAGCCACACUGGAACUGAGACACGGUCCAGACUCCUACGGGAGGCAGCAGUGGGGAAUCUUGCGCAAUGGGCGAAAGCCUGACGCAGCGACGCCGCGUGGGGGAUGAAGCAUCUCGGUGUGUAAACCCCUUUCGACUGGGACGAAUGCCUCGCAAGAGGAGUGACGGUACCAGUAGAAGAAGCCCCGGCUAACUACGUGCCAGCAGCCGCGGUAAGACGUAGGGGGCCAGCGUUGUUCGGAAUUACUGGGUGUAAAGGGUUCGUAGGCGGUGUGGCAAGUCGGGAGUGAAAUCUAUGGGCUUAACCCAUAGGCUGUUUCCGAAACUGCCGUGCUUGAGUGUGGGAGAGGCGCGUGGAAUUGCAGGUGUAGCGGUGAAAUGCGUAGAUAUCUGCAGGAACACCCGUGGCGAAAGCGGCGCGCUGGACCACUACUGACGCUGAGGAACGAAAGCUAGGGGAGCAAACAGGAUUAGAUACCCUGGUAGUCCUAGCCCUAAACGAUCAGGACUUGGGGUGCCACCCGUUCGGGUGUCGUCCCGGAGCUAACGCGUUAAGUCCUGCACCUGGGGAGUACGGUCGCAAGACUGAAACUCAAAGGAAUUGACGGGGCCCGCACAAGCGGUGGAACAUGUGGUUCAAUUCGACGCUACGCGAGGAACCU
rnacentral:rRNA from 1 species